GGAUGAACGCUGGCGGCGUGCCUAAUACAUGCAAGUCGAGCGAACAGACGAGGAGCUUGCUCCUCUGACGUUAGCGGCGGACGGGUGAGUAACACGUGGAUAACCUACCUAUAAGACUGGGAUAACUUCGGGAAACCGGAGCUAAUACCGGAUAACAUGUUGAACCGCAUGGUUUAACAGUGAAAGACGGUCUUGCUGUCACUUAUAGAUGGAUCCGCGCCGCAUUAGCUAGUUGGUAAGGUAACGGCUUACCAAGGCAACGAUGCGUAGCCGACCUGAGAGGGUGAUCGGCCACACUGGAACUGAGACACGGUCCAGACUCCUACGGGAGGCAGCAGUAGGGAAUCUUCCGCAAUGGGCGAAAGCCUGACGGAGCAACGCCGCGUGAGUGAAGAAGGUCUUCGGAUCGUAAAACUCUGUUAUUAGGGAAGAACAAAUGUGUAAGUAACUAUGCACGUCUUGACGGUACCUAAUCAGAAAGCCACGGCUAACUACGUG
rnacentral:rRNA from 1 species